rnacentral:rRNA from 1 species
AGUGAACGCUGGCGGUAGGCCUAACACAUGCAAGUCGAACGGCAGCACAGUAAGAGCUUGCUCUUACGGGUGGCGAGUGGCUGACGGGUGAGGAAUACAUCGGAAUCUACUUUUUCGUGGGGGAUAACGUAGGGAAACUUACGCUAAUACCGCAUACGACCUACGGGUGAAAGCAGGGGAUCUUCGGACCUUGCGCGAUUGAAUGAGCCGAUGUCGGAUUAGCUAGUUGGCGGGGUAAAGGCCCACCAAGGCGACGAUCCGUAGCUGGUCUGAGAGGAUGAUCAGCCACACUGGAACUGAGACACGGUCCAGACUCCUACGGGAGGCAGCAGUGGGGAAUAUUGGACAAUGGGCGCAAGCCUGAUCCAGCCAUACCGCGUGGGUGAAGAAGGCCUUCGGGUUGUAAAGCCCUUUUGUUGGGAAAGAAAAGCAGCAGGUUAAUACCCCGCUGUUCUGACGGUACCCAAAGAAUAAGCACCGGCUAACUUCGUG